GACCUAUCCUGUUGUCAAUCGAAACAAAAUUUUGCAACUGAAUGCCGGUCAUGAGGCACUGAGAUUGUACUUAGAAACUUCGAAACAAAUGCCUAACAUGAAACAGAAGUCCCAAGCAGUAGAUGAAUGCAGCUAUAUCUUCCUUUGAUUUUGGAACUUUUGAAGAACAGCUUCUGGUUGGUUAACUUGUUUGGACCCAAGUACAUAGAUCUCAGCCACCAACAGUUUGAGUGUCCACCACCACCACACACGUAUGAACUAGUGGGACAUUUAGAGCAGUCACAAGUAUAACAACGCACAGUAGCAUUAAGCAUUCAGGCAGAUCCAGGAUUUCCCUCGACAUUUGUUAAACUGUAGGAGGUGCCGUCUUGACUGGUUUUAGCUACAAGCUGAUGUAAUGACAAUGAUUUCAUGGUGUUGGGAGUAAGAAUUGGAGAUCUGAUACUGCUAACAUGUUGGUUAGCAUCACAGCUUGUCCAUAGGGAUACUGGCUGGGGUAGCAUUUGGAUCUGUUUCAAGGUGUGUUCCUGCUGCUGCCUUGUGUGUUCCUGCUGCUGCCUUGUGUGUUCAAUCCUGUGGACAAUAAUAAUCAUGCAAACCACAUAUAUGUUGCAUUUUUGUUUAUUAAAAUCCUUAAGUGAUAAUUCCGAAAGCCAAAUGAUUAAUUUUUUAAUGCUAUUAUUUAUUUUUCAUUUACUGUAAACUCACAAAUUUUUGUUUUUUAAUGCUGUUAUUUAUUUUCCAAUUAUUGAAAAUUCACAGAUUUUUGAUAUAUUUUUUUUACUGAAAAUUGCUACA